rnacentral:lncRNA from 1 species
UUCUCAAACAUUUAAGACAAAACUCCAAAAUAAAUGGUUACAACAACAACAUGUAUAUCAUCAACUUUGAAACAAUUACACCAAUGAAAUAAAAUGGAGUUCAAAACAAUUACGUUCUUGUGACAGUUCGCAACCAUCAAAAGCUAUCCUACAAAUCCCUUCCUUUGGUCUGCAACAAUAUUUGCUAGUGAUGAAACUUGAGGCACAUCUUCGGCCAAAUUACAAAUCCCUGCCCAAUCUGUCCCAAAGUCGUACACCAUUCAUCAUGAGGGCAUGGCAACAAAGCAUGUGGUAUAAACGUACACUCAAUGUAAACUAAGAAAUUUCCUUCUCCUAGGCAUCUUGCACCCCACUUGGAGUUUGGGUUAACAUCUUUCACCCUUCCCUUUGCGACGACUUGGAAAGGACAACCACCAAACAAACUAACCUCCUGAAACAAUAUUAUGGUAGUUUGUUUACAAAACAAUCAUAGUCCAUCAAAAAAAUUAGACUACUUCAGGGGGGAAAAAGAGUAAGCAAUGGAUAAAUCUAUAAGCAAAAUAUAAAGUACAUGGUAUAAUGAUGGUUCACAUAACCGGCAGAAAAGUUCACAAGCAACCAGGAAAAAACUUAGAAGGUCAAAUGAUUGUAAUAACAAUUUAUUCACUACAAUAGGCUGUGUUAUAAAAGAACUAAACACACUACAGCAAAUUUAAAGUCACUGACAUAUGUGCCAUUAACAUACAAGCAGUAGUAAAGUCUAUGUCUAUAACUUUGUGUGAUGGUAAGAUAGACAAAGGAAUACUAACAACUUUAUUUAUUUCACAAAUAAUCAAAAUCCUAAACAAAGUUUUUUUAAGAGGAAAGAUGAUAUCUACUGGCAUGCAUCUGGUUGCAUAUGUAAUUACAAAGCGUACCGUGUUAACUUCCACUUGCAUUUGUGAACUUGAACCAACAGGUAUGGGCGGUCUCCCACCUGAUCCUGUUUGAACUGCACGGUUGAGUUGCACUAUUUGAGCUUGAAGGCCAUCAAACUUCCCAUCUACUUGUUG